rnacentral:rRNA from 1 species
CGGCGAGUGAAGCGGCACAGCUCAAAUUUGAAAUCUGGCCCCUUUGGGGUCCGAGUUGUAAUUUGCAGAGGGAGCUUUUGGUGUCGGCCGUGGUCUAAGUUCCUUGGAACAGGACGUCACAGAGGGUGAGAAUCCCGUACGUGGCCGCCGGCCUUCGCCUUGUAAAGCCCCUUCGACGAGUCGAGUUGUUUGGGAAUGCAGCUCUAAAUGGGAGGUAAAUUUCUUCUAAAGCUAAAUACCCGCCAGAGACCGAUAGCGCACAAGUAGAGUGAUCGAAAGAUGAAAAGCACUUUGGAAAGAGAGUGAAAAAGCACGUGAAAUUGUUGAAAGGGAAGCGCUUGCAGCCAGACGUGCCCGCAGUUGAUCAUCCAGGCUCCGGCCCGGUGCACUCCUCCGCGGGCAGGCCAGCAUCAGUUCGGGCGGUCGGAUAAAGGCCUCUGUCAUGUACCACCCCCCGGGGUGGCCUUAUAGGGGAGGCGCAACACGGCCAGCCCGGACUGAGGUUCCGCGCAUCUGCUAGGAUGCUGGCGUAAUGGCGGCAAGCGGCCCGUCUUGAAACACGGACCAAGGAGUCUAACAUCUAUGCGAGUGUUUGGGUGUCAAGCCCGAGCGCGGAAUGAAAGUGAACGGAGGUGGGAACCCUUACCGGUGCACCAUCGACCGAUCCUGAUGUCUUCGGAUGGAUUUGAGUAAGAGCAUAGCUGUUGGGACCCGAAAGAUGGUGAACUAUGCCUGAAUAGGGUGAAGCCAGAGGAAACUCUGGUGGAGGCUCGCAGCGGUUCUGACGUGCAAAUCGAUCGUCAAAUUUGGGCAUAGGGGGCGAAAGACUAAUCGAACCAUCU